rnacentral:rRNA from 1 species
UGCAGUCGAGCGAGAAAGGGGCAACCUGAGUAAAGCGGCGUACGGGUGAGUAACACGUGGGUGAUCUGCCUCUUAGUGGGGAAUAACCCUGGGAAACCGGGGCUAAUACCGCAUAAGCCUGUGAAGGGAAAGCAGCAAUGCGCUGAGAGAGGAGCCCGCGGCCGAUUAGCUAGUUGGUGAGGUAACGGCUCACCAAGGCGGUGAUCGGUAGCCGGCCUGAGAGGGCACACGGCCACACUGGCACUGAAACACGGGCCAGACUCCUACGGGAGGCAGCAGUGGGGAAUCUUGCACAAUGGAGGCAACUCUGAUGCAGCGACGCCGCGUGAGCGAUGAAGCCCCUCGGGGUGUAAAGCUCUUUCGGCAGGGACGAUAAUGACGGUACCUGAAGAAGAAGCUGCGGCUAACUACGUGCCAGCAGCCGCGGUAAUACGUAGGCAGCGAGCGUUGUUCGGAAUUACUGGGCGUAAAGAGUGUGUAGGCGGUGCUCUAAGUUCGGUGUGAAAUCUCCCGGCUUAACUGGGAGGGUGCGCCGGAAACUGGAGUGCUCGAGCGUGGGAGAGGAAAGCGGAAUUCCUGGUGUAGCGGUGAAAUGCGUAGAUAUCAGGAGGAACACCUGCGGUGUAGACGGCUUUCUGGACCAUUGCUGACGCUGAGACACGAAAGCGUGGGUAGCAAACAGGAUUAGAUACCCUGGUAGUCCACGCCCUAAACGAUGCAUACUUGGUGUCGGCCAUUCAGUUGGUCGGUGCCGGAGCUAACGCGUUAAGUAUGCCGCCUGGGGAGUACGGUCGCAAGGCUGAAACUCAAAGAAUUGACGGGGGCCCGCACAAGCGGUGGAGCAUGUGGUUUAAUUCGACGCAACGCGAAGAACCUUA